GAGAGAGAGAGAGAGAGGAAGAGAUUAGAGUAGAAGAAGAUGUUGAACUUCAGGGAGAUUGGGACUAAGAAAACAGUGGUGGGUCUUGGUUUGGGGCAGUUUCUUUCACUGCUCAUCACUUCUACUGGAUUUUCAUCCUCUGAACUUGCCAGAAGAGGAAUUAAUGCACCAACUUCUCAGUCUUUUCUGAACUAUGUGCUCUUGGCCAUUGUAUAUGGAAGUAUUAUGCUAUUUCGGAAGAAAGCGCUUAAGGCAAAAUGGUACUACUAUGUAAUCCUGGCAAUAGUGGAUGUAGAGGCCAACUUUCUUGUGGUGAAGGCCUAUCAGUACACAUCUCUUACAAGUGUCAUGCUGCUGGAUUGUUGGUCAAUUCCAUCUGUUAUGUUUCUUACCUGGCUUUUCUUGCAUACAAAGUAUAGAUUCAAGAAGAUUUCUGGAGUAGUAGUUUGUGUUGCUGGACUGGUCAUGGUCGUUUUUUCUGAUGUUCAUGCAGGUGACCGAUCAGGGGGGAGCAAUCCUCGUAAAGGGGAUUCUCUCGUUAUUGCUGGUGCAACGCUGUAUGCUGUUAGUAAUGUCAGUGAGGAGUUUCUUGUGAAGAAUGCAGAUAGAAUUGAACUCAUGUCUCUGCUGGGGUUUUUUGGUGCAAUAAUUAGUGCUAUCCAAAUAAGCAUUCUUGAGCGCAAUGAGCUUAAAUCUAUUCACUGGUCAGCUGGGGCUGCUCUUCCAUUUGUUGGAUUUGCACUGGCAAUGUUUCUGUUUUACUCAUUUGUCCCUGUCCUGCUUAAGGUAUGGAUUUGAGUUACACAAGACUUUUCCUAUUAAGUUUGUAAGAUGGCGUGUCAUUAGGAUGGCUCUUCCAUUUAUACAUGUCAGUUAUGCUUUGCUAUUUGUCCAAAUCUAUUUUCUUUUUUGGUUAAUGAGCUUGAGAAUUUGUUGCUCACUUAUUGUUAUCGGUUAUUUUUUUGCCAAUUUCACCAUGAAGUUAUUAAGCACUCCUGUCAAAGUAACCAUCAUCUUUGUCCAAAUUCCAAUGCUUUGCAUCUGGGGUAUUCAUAGUUUUUCCUAUAUUUUGAGUCAAAACAAUGAUGAAAUUUUUGAAUUUGUAAUAAAUAUUUGGAUAACUGUUGAAUUCAAAAUGAUACUGAGGCAUUCAAAGGAGAUGUGUUUGACAAAGAGCAUGCUUUAAAAAAUGCAUGUUUCUACUCAUAUGAGUAUCAUCAUUCCUAUUAUUUGCAGAUUAGCGGGUCAACAAUGCUCAACCUGUCUUUGCUAACAUCAGAUAUGUGGUCUGUCUUAAUUCGCAUCUUUGCUUAUCAUGAUAAGGUUGAUUGGAUGUACUACGUAGCAUUUGCUGCUGUUGCUGUUGGGCUGGUCAUUUAUUCAGGGGGUGACAAAGAGGAACAAAACCGUGCGGAUGUUGCUGAUGAAGAGGCUGAGCAAAGCAAACAUUUUGAUGAGGAGAGUGGCUCUGGGAGUCGGAGCCAAGGAACUUUAGCCGGGAGCUCAAAAACAGGGGAUAGCAGCAAUCAAGACCCUGCUACCACUGGCAUUCGAGAAAAGCAUGAAAAUGAAAACAAGAAUGUCGGCAAGAUGCAUUAGAUAAGAAAUCAUAGUUCAGCUUCUUUGAUUAUAAAUUGGAAGCUUAAAUUGGAAGCUCAAAUGUAAUGGCUGCCGCUCCAUAAAGUGCGGAUGUCAGCUGCUAUAGAAUUUCCAUUCACAAAUUGGGGUGAGGAGGGAAUAAACUAUCCUUUCCCUUACAAGCUUAUUUUUUUUCUUCUCUUUAUCUACAUGCAACUGUUUAGAAGAACAUUAUUUAGAUGGUUAGUUUUGAGUAUUUGGUCAUAUUUGGUUAGUUUCAACUAACUUUGAAUUUAGAAAAUGAAAUUGUUUUUAACAAGAGCAUAACACCCAGGCUCCACCAUAGAACAGAAAGAGAAGCCUCGCCAGUUUGUUUAGAAUUAGUGGGUAGUUGGAUGUUCUGAUAUGGCUGAAUUUGAACUAUGGCAGAAAAAUGUUUGCUACAGUGGUGCUUACAGCAUCAGAUCAGAAGCAGAAAGAGCAACAUCUGAAACCCAAUGCAUAUUUUUCCAUGUUAAGGUAUUUCUAAUUUGUAAUUUGUUGGAUUUCUUGAAGCCCUGCAGGCCUGUUUGGCAUUGUGAUUUUGGAUAAAAAAG
rnacentral:misc_RNA from 1 species